CCUACGGGUGGCAGCAGUGAGGAAUAUUGGUCAAUGGACGAGAGUCUGAACCAGCCAAGUAGCGUGAAGGAUGAAGGCUUUCGGGUUGUAAACUUCUUUUCUGGGGGACGAACAAAUGACGGUACCCCAGGAAUAAGCCACGGCUAACUACGUGCCAGCAGCCGCGGUAAUACGUAGGUGGCAAGCGUUAUCCGGAUUUAUUGGGUGUAAAGGGCGUGUAGGCGGGAAUGCAAGUCAGAUGUGAAAACUCAGGGCUCAACCCUGAGCCUGCAUUUGAAACUGUGUUUCUUGAGUGCUGGAGAGGCAAUCGGAAUUCCGUGUGUAGCGGUGAAAUGCGUAGAUAUACGGAGGAACACCAGUGGCGAAGGCGGAUUGCUGGACAGUAACUGACGCUGAGGCGCGAAAGCGUGGGGAGCAAACAGGAUUAGAUACCCGUGUAGUC
rnacentral:rRNA from 1 species